UACGAAGGGGGCUAGCGUUGCUCGGAAUUACUGGGCGUAAAGCGCACGUAGGCGGAUUGUUAAGUCGGGGGUGAAAUCCUGGAGCUCAACUCCAGAACUGCCUUCGAUACUGGCGACCUUGAGUUCGGGAGAGGUGAGUGGAACUGCGAGCGUAGAGGUGAAAUUCGUAGAUAUUCGCAAGAACACCAGUGGCGAAGGCGGCUCACUGGCCCGUUACUGACGCUGAGGUGCGAAAGCCAGGGGAGCAAACGGG
rnacentral:rRNA from 1 species